rnacentral:rRNA from 1 species
GACGAACGCUGGCGGCGUGCUUAACACAUGCCAGUCGAACGGAAAGGCCUCUUUCGGGGGGUACUCGCGUGGCGAACGGGUGAGUAACACGUGAGUAACCUGCCCUUGACUUUGGGAUAACUUCAGGAAACUGGGGCUAAUACCGGAUAGGAUCUCCUGCUGCAUGGUGGGGGUUGGAAAGUUUCGGCGGUUGGGGAUGGAUUCGCGGCUUAUCAGCUUGUUGGUGGGGUAGUGGCUUACCAAGGCUUUGACGGGUAGCCGGCCUGAGAGGGUGACCGGCCACAUUGGGACUGAGAUACGGCCCAGACUCCUACGGGAGGCAGCAGGGGGGAAGAUUGCACAAUGGGUGGAAGCCUGAUGCAGCAACGCCGUGUGCGGGAUGACGGCCUUCGGGUUGGAAAACGCAUUAGCUCAUGACGAAGCUUUGUGUGACGGUAGUGGGUAAAGAAGCACCGGCUAACUACGUG